UACGGGGGGAGCAAGCGUUGUUCGGAUUUACUGGGCGUAAAGGGCGCGUAGGCGGCGUAACAAGUCACUUGUGAAAUCUCCGGGCUUAACCCGGAGCGGCCAAGUGAUACUGUUGUGCUAGAGUCCGGAAGAGGAGAGUGGAAUUCCCGGUGUAGCGGUGAAAUGCGCAGAUAUCGGGAAGAACACCCGUGGCGAAGGCGGCUCUCUGGGACGGUACUGACGCUGAGACGCGAAAGCGUGGGGAGCGAACAGG
rnacentral:rRNA from 1 species